AUUCCGCGAGGGGCGGCCCUGUAAUGCGCUUCGGGGAAAUCCCAGUCCUAAAUCGGAUGGCAUCUAAGUUCUGUGCUCUGCACGGCUGCGGGAGGGUGAAGGUAGAGGUAUGCGGGUUACCAGUGGCGCUUGCUGCAAAAACUAGCGUGUACCCUGGGAACGACAGUAGGCCCUGGCUGCAGACUCCGGUGGUGGACUGCCUGCCGGCGAGGAAGACGCCAGAGAGCGGCAAAAUGUCGGGGUAUCGGAAAGCGUCUGCAGAGCCAAGCUUGCGUUCCAGCCUCUAGCCCAGCGGGCGGAGCCAGGGGCGGGGCCCGAAGCAGGGUGGGCCACUCAGGGACCAGGCCAAGCUGCGCGUCCGCGUACGGGGCGGAACCCGAGUGUGGUCGCCAGGUCAGGACCCCUGCGAACCCGCGACCCCAUCGCCCAGGGAGGCCGGGUUCGGUGGAACCCCGGCCCCGGAGGCGGGGCCCGGGCGAGCCCGAGGAGGGAGGUGAGAAGGCUCCUGACCGGAGGAAGCAGACGGCGUAGCUGCGUACGGUGGCCCCAGCCUGAGGCCCGAGGGGAACGAACCGAACUUCUGUGGGUGUGAGCGCGGAGCCCUGCCCGGGACAACGCUUAACUCUAGCGAACGGGCACGUAUGGAGGCCACGCAGGUACAGUGAAGGGGCUAGAUCCGCACGGGGAGGCUUACUCAGCAUCGGACUUCAGAGUUCCCUUGGCAUCCCCGCUCUCUGGGAUGGGCUGUCCUGUGGGGACAGAGGGACCAUCUGGGCAGGAGGAUAAAGGGAGAAAGAUCCCCACCCCACCCUGGCUCCUACCCCCUGCGCUCUGGUGGCCUCACCCUCCCGGGACAGUGACUCCAGGAUGGUGUUGCAGGUGGAGGCGAUCUCUGAGAUGGACUGCCACUCGUCUUCCAGGGUCUCGCUGCCCGCCUCUGACAUGACUGUGGGCACAGGGAGGUGGGCUCAGCCCAGGGAGAGCCCAAGCCAGCCCCUCUUCUGCCCGCCGCCACCCGUGACCCACACCUUGCUCCAGACUCACUUUUGCUGAUGGAGUUCCUCAGAGACAAGACCCAGCGCUGCCCCUGUGUAUCCUGGGUAAAUCACUCUGAACACCCGUUUCUCCGUCUGCGAAAUGGGUGAACUGUACCAAUUGACAGCCCGCUGUGAGGAUUUAAGUAACGACACAAGUAAAUCACCCGGGGUAGAGAUCUAAAACCUCCUGCCUGGGAGCCAAAUCCAGCCUGCGCCUUUUUUUUUUUUUUUUCCUGUUUUAGCAGAUGUGCCUGUUUUCCUACUCCUGUGAGCCAAGAAUGGUUUUUGCAUUUUUAAAUAGUUGGCAGAAAUCAAAAGAACAUUUCACGACACAUGAAAAUCAAUAAAAUUCAAAUCUCAGUGUCCACAAAUAAAGGUUUAGUGGAACAAA